GCUCAGAACUUAAAGGAAUUGACGGGGCCCGCACAAGCGGUGGAGUAUGUGGUUAAUUCGAUGCAACGCGAGAACCUUACCUGGUCUUGACAUCCCGGAGACCCUUAGGAACUAGGGGUGCUUCCAUCUGGAAGAAUCUGGAGACAGGUGCUGCAUGGCUGUCGUCAGCUCGUGUCGUGAGAUGUUGGGUUAAGUCCCGCAACGAGCGCAACCCUUGCCUUUAGUUGCCAGCAGUUCGGCUGGGCACUCUAAAGGGACUGCCGGUGUUAAACCGGAGGAAGGUGGGGAUGACGUCAAGUCCUCAUGGCCUUUAUGACCAGGGCUACACACGUACUACAAUGGCCGAUACAAAGGGCAGCGACACUGCGAGGUGAAGCCAAUCCCGUAAAAUCGGUCUCAGUCCGGAUUGGAGUCUGCAACUCGACUCCAUGAAGUUGGAAUCGCUAGUAAUCGUGGAUCAGCAUGCCACGGUGAAUACGUUCCCGGGCCUU
rnacentral:rRNA from 1 species